UUGACCUACGGGAGGCAGCAGUAGGGAAUCUUCCACAAUGGGCGAAAGCCUGAUGGAGCAACGCCGCGUGGGUGAAGAAGGCCUUCGGAUCGUAAAAACCUGUUGUUAGAGAAGAAAGCGCGUGAGAGUAACUGUUCACAUUUCGACGGUAUCUAACCAGAAAGCCACGGCUAAUUACGUGCCAGCAGCCGCGGUAAUACGUAGGUGGCAAGCGUUAUCCGGAUUUAUUGGGCGUAAAGGGAACGCAGGCGGUCUUUUAAGU
rnacentral:rRNA from 1 species